GCAACCCGCUUGUGUCCCUUUGCAUACUGUGGAAGCUUUGUUCUUUUGCUCUUUGCAGUAAAUCUUGCUACUGCUCACUCUUUGGGUCCCCGCUGCUUUUAUGAGCUGUAACAUUCACCGCGAAGAUCUGCAGCUUCACUCCUGAGCCCAGCGAGACCACAAGCCCACCGGGAGAAACGAACAACUCCAGACGUGCUGCCUUAAGAGCUGUAACACUCACCGCAAAGGUCUGCAGCUUCACUCCUGAACCAGCGAGACCACGAACCCACCAGAAGGAAGAAACUCCGAACACAUCUGAACAUCAGAAGGGACAGACUCCAGACGCGCCACCUUAAGAGCUGUAACACUCACCGCGAGGGUCCGCGGCUUCAUUCUUAAAGUCAGUGAGACCAAGAACCUACCAAUUCCGGACACAUAGGUACCAUUAAGAACAUUAAUGAUUCAUGAGAGAAGGUCAAAAUAUCAAAAUUAACAAGAAUUUGCAAGAUGUUAAUUUUAACUCUAAUAAAUGACAUUUACAGAUUCAAGACAUCAGUGGAAAAAUAAACUCCAUGUAAUGGGAAUAGCAAGAAAAAUAGCACUAGAAGUGGACCUUGAAGAUUUGACUGACCUGUGGAAAUCUCAUAGUAAAACCUGAAUGGAAGAAGAGUUGGUUCUUACAGAAAAAUGGAAGCACCUUGAAUAAAAGAAGAAAUACUUGAAGAUGAGAAAAUGAUAUUGG
rnacentral:lncRNA from 10 species